rnacentral:rRNA from 1 species
GAUGAACGCUGGCGGCGUGCCUAAUACAUGCAAGUCGAGCGAACGGACGAGAAGCUUGCUUCUCUGAUGUUAGCGGCGGACGGGUGAGUAACACGUGGAUAACCUACCUAUAAGACUGGGAUAACUUCGGGAAACCGGAGCUAAUACCGGAUAAUAUUUUGAACCGCAUGGUUCAAAAGUGAAAGACGGUCUUGCUGUCACUUAUAGAUGGAUCCGCGCUGCAUUAGCUAGUUGGUAAGGUAACGGCUUACCAAGGCAACGAUGCAUAGCCGACCUGAGAGGGUGAUCGGCCACACUGGAACUGAGACACGGUCCAGACUCCUACGGGAGGCGGCAGUAGGGAAUCUUCCGCAAAGGGCGAAAGCCUGACGGAGCAACGCCGCGUGAGUGAUGAAGGUCCUCGGAUCGUAAAACUCUGUUAUUAGGGAAGAACAUAUGUGUAAGUAACUGUGCACAUCUUGACGGUACCUAAUCAGAAAGCCACGGCUAACUACGUG